rnacentral:lncRNA from 1 species
UUGUUGGGGAUCCUGGGAGUUCAAUCAACCAAAACAUCAAUCAAUAGAAGAAAUUCUAAAGCAAAACCAAGAAAAUACGAAAUCGGAAAUAACACAACCCAUAUGGCCGAAUCUGGACAGCUUCUGCUUCCUCCUUUCAGCAGCUUCUUCUCCUCCUUAUGGCUGAUUUUACAGGCUCAGGAACAGCCCUCCACGACUUGCAAAUCACCUUCCAAGAGAGAGAGAGAAAACCGGCAAAGAACCCCUUCAAAC